rnacentral:lncRNA from 1 species
UAGUAUGAGCCGGGAAUAGUGCUGAGGAAAGAAUUGAUGCAGGAAUCAAAGGGAUUUCGACCUUUGGGUAAACAUGGCCUGUCUAUAUCUUUUUCAGUGUGUAUAAGAAAAUAUAUCAAAGCCAUGGUUAAAACUUUAGGAUGAGGCAAAAAUAUAUAUGUAUAUUUUUUGGAUGAUUGAUUUAAAUUAAAAAAUUCCAGGAGUGGCAGAAAGGGGAAAUAAAAGACAAACUUCAGGAAGGUCAAAGGCAAAUAAAUGAAGUUUGGGAAACACUGCUUUAAGUCAAGACUGCUCACUCUGGACCUGCUCACUCACUCUGGACCAUCCCAGCAGGCAGAUGAAAGCUGAUGGCUAGGCCUGUCUCCAAAGCAUGUAAGAAUUGUGAAAGGAUUUGUAUACCCUCAGAAAAAAACUUGCUUAGUGUUCCAUGGAGGAGAUUCAGGCUGGUGACCCUGGUAGCAACCAC